rnacentral:lncRNA from 1 species
GGCACCCGGGCAGGAAUGUGAUGAGCUCUUCCGUUUUCCUGGCUGGGAGAAGGGGGAGUUUCCUUAGAACCCUAAAAACAGGGGAGGGAGAACUUACUCGCGACUGGCACGAAUCCUUUGGAGAUGAGCUCCGGCAGGAAGAGGUAAUAAAUGUCGUUGAUCGCAUUGGAGGUCCAGAACACCGCCCUGGGGAUGCCGAAUUCGUCCGCCAGAUCCUGGGUGAAUCCGUUGAAGGUGUCCGUGAUCAUGCAGCAAACGGGGUUCCCUUCCUCCUGGAACUUCCGGAUAAGCUCUCGCACAGAGGCUGCCAUGGCUCGCGCUGCCAGGCGGAUCUUCUCCACGAUCGCGCUGGAAUCCCCCUUGGCGAGAUCGUUGCUGCUGCGCAUGCUGUUACCUGGAUUGUCCGAGACCUCGACGAUGCGGACGUUGCUCUUGGCGUGGGGGUCUGCAAUCAGAUCGCGCGUCUGGUGCAUGAGCUUCAUGUUGCUCGGAUUGGAAUGGUGACAUCGCAGGCCGCGAGACGGCGGCAGAAGUGCAUCAGUGAGUUCGUGUGGCCCGGGAUUGGGAAUGGGAACGCUAGAACAUGAGGCUUCUUGCUAGCACCCGCCAUUCGCAGCGCUUUGAUCUUUUGAUCUUGGAUUGGAAGCCAGGUAAGAUAUAGGCGAGUACCGAGAGCCCAAUUAGAACACCACAAAAAGGAAUGCUCCUUGUGAGAGGCACGAAAGUGCAAGAAAGUAGACCGGAAUUGACCAGGCAAUCUGAUCCUUUGCUCUACAGCACGAAACAAAAGCUGGUACUCGCCAUUCCGGAGCUGCUGGAUUCGUUGGUGGCCGCUUUACUGCAGCAGGUGACAAGCGAAAAGAGGAAGGAAAGGCUACUUGAAGUGUUCUUGCAGAAGAUCACAGUGACUUCUUAGCUUGCUCGCCCUGUAAAGCUGCUCGAGCGGAAUGGAGGCGGAAAAGACUUGUAGAGAUCUUCACAAACUGCAAGACAUGGCGCGGGUUUUUUUCCUCAAGUGCCGAUCAUAAGAUGCUGAAAGACAGAUGGUUUUGAAGGAUGGAAUUCCGAGAGCGUAGGUUUUGCGAGGUGGUCAUGGCUUCAAACGACUUUGAAAUCGACGACAUGGAUCAGAAGCCUUGCUACUGGUCGAUGAACCCAAGCUUAUAAAUUCUUUCAUCAAAGGCGAUGUGGCGAGCAAAGCGCUCCUUCGUGUGGAUGGAAACAAAUAGACGCUGCGGAGGGUUACUAAAGAGGGGCGUGAUCUAGCAUCACAUAGUUCGUCGAUAAAAGCCUUCAUGCCAUGAAGCUCCAUAGAACUUCUUGAUAUUCAAGCAAGGAUGCCUAGAUUGACAAAGUGGAAGUUCCAAAAACGUAAAGCCCGUUCACUACUUUUGCUAAAUGCGGAUGACUUUCCAUGCUUGUAAUGUAUGGAAUCCCGCGUCAAGAUUCGCACAUAAUAGAGAAGACUCUCUGCUCUUCAUGCCAUGAAGGAUUUCUCAACAACAAUAUUAACUUACUAAACAAAAGGUUAUAUUAUAAUUAAAAAUGUGAUUUAACCAGUCAGCUUUGCAAUAAAAGUUCUAGAAAAAUUUGCCCCGCUAAACUUUCGUCUUCUUUCCAUUCAAAACUUACCAAAGAAUUCUUAACCUUUGGUCGACAUGGCUCCUUCAGCCUGCCUAGUUCCCAAGUGCUCAAGUUUCCUCCUCAACUCCUCCCUCGCCAUCCCUCACCACGAUCUGUCCACCAGCUCCAUCCCCCGCUCACGAUUGGCCACCCCAGCACCUGCCUGCUCAUGCUCUCCUGGAUCGAAUCCACCUGCAAUGGCUCAGGAAUCUGCUCAGGAAUGCAUCCAUAGAUGUUGGAGAAGUUCCCGCAACAAGCCAUUGCUCAAAAAAGAAUUGCAAAGGCAAGAAAGAUCUAGAACUUACACGCACCCGACCACUUGGCCCUGUGCAGGAUUGCGACUGGUAUCACGAAGCACCAUGCCGUGUCGCUGCUCUCCUGCUAAAUCAAUGUGGAAAUUGUACCUAGUCUCCGGCAAGAGGAUAGGGUCUCGCUGCUUUUGCCCAAGGCAAAGGGUGUAUAUUGCCUGCGAGAGAAGAGGAUUGAAUGACAAGAAGCUAGCCCUCCCUUCCUUGGUGAUUGCUAAGCACAUUAAAUUAAAACAUUGGCUAGUUUAAGAAGUUAGAUAAAUUAUAUUUUUGGAGUGGAAUAUAUUUAAAUAUUCUAGGAUAUUUUACCAUUUAACGGUUAUUAAUUAUUUAGAUUAACUUUGUAUUUAUAAUUUAUAAAUUUUCCUAAACACUUCUUAGUCUAUUCUAGUUUAUUCUAAUAAUUGAUAAACAUGUUUAUAAUUAAAAAAUCUAAUUGAUUAAUUAUAUUAAUAAAAAUAAGAAUAUCACUAUUAUUAAGCAAAAUCGAGCCUAACAAAUUAUUUAUUGAUUAUAAUAUAACUUUUUGUUUAAUAGUCAGUGUGAGGACAUUUAUCACAUCUUCCUGCCGGAAAAGGAUUCGUGCCUCCCCUGGUUUUAGGGUUCUAAGGAAACUCCCUUACAUUCCUGCCUAGCUGCCCGCCGAUGCCCGGGCGUGAUCUGCGACGGCGCGUCGCGGUUCGCGGAGGCGAGAUUCGCGCUGUGCAACAGCUACGAGGAGCCGGAGCCCCACGCGACGCUGGUCAAAUCCAGCUACUUCCCCGGCAUUCUUCGCAGGGGAAUCGACAGCGGUGGAGCGAUCCAGCGAGCACCUGUCUCCCAAGGAUCUGGCGUGCCUGGAGUGCUCGACACACCAGAAGGAAUCCUCCGUGAUCUACGUCUCCUUCGCCAGCGUGGCCACCAUGUCCGCGGAGCAAUUCCAGGAGCUCGCCAGGGGCCUGGAGCGCAGCAACCAGCCAUUCGUAUGGUGCUGCGCAAGACCCUCGUCGCGGAUCCAUCGGUGCACGAUUUCUUCGAGGGAUUGAAGCAGCGGAUUGGCAAGCGCGGGAUCGUGAUUUCGUGGGCGCCGCAAAUGCACGUCUUGCUCCACCCGCAGAUUCCUGACGCACUGCGGGUGGAACUCGACCGUGGAGGGGAUCUGUGCGGGCGUGCCGAUGCUCGCCUGGCCUUGCAUGGCGGAGCAAAACGUGAACUGUAAGGAGCUUGUGGAGCACUGGAAGCUGGCGGUCCCGGUCCAGGAGGAUCGGGAUAAAAGCUCCGUGGUCUCGGUCUCAAGCGAGAGGCUGGCGGAUCUCGUGGUGGAAUUCCUGAGCCCGGGCUCCCAUCUCGCGACCCUUGUCGCCGUUCAGAAUCCUCCUUUGCUUAAGCUUUGAAAGAUUUUUUGGAAGAUAACAACCAUUAUGUAAAGUCAAUAUUUUGAAGAUUAAGAUGAAUCAAUUGGUCGUGAUUCAUGGGCCUACAUUUCUGCAAGUCUUUACGGACAAGAGAAUCUGACACUCUCCUCUCUUUUAAUGAAUGAAUUUUUGGCUUGAGAAACUACGUUUAAAGGUAAACAAGUUUAAGAUUUAUAAACACAGCAUUUCUAGAACCAAAUAUACUAGCAUAUUCUAGGUUCGAAAAGUCUUUCACGUUGCCGUCACCUUUUAGAUUAGGGUUUAAGUUUCAAAUGCACAGCUCACCGUCCUCACAAAUAAGAUCUAAUCUUCCGCAGCCACAUGAAUUUUCAUUCUUAUCCAUGGUGCUGCCCAGCAUUUUUCCUCGACGUCCUGCCCAAGUGCAACAAGGAGUUAAGUAUAAUUUGUGGUGCCUCCAGGUUUUGUCUUGAUUGAUUCUCUCUGGAAAACUUGCAGGCAGCGCACAAGAAAAGAAACCACCAAUUCUUGGCUGGAAGCAAGAGGUUACGUUACAACACAUCCCCGAGCCACCUGAUUGUGAUGCUCCCGUUCACUGUCCGCCUCCGGAGCCGUGCAUCAGCCAUGUGAGAAUGUUCUGUUAAAUCCUUCUAUCUCCUUGCCACUGGAGCAUAAAUAUCAUAAAUUUCUUGUCUAGGACGGGAUGAUUCUCCAGGAAAGGAUUGCAGCGAGGCGUGCUGCAAUUGCCAGCUCCAAAAAUGUGAAAAUCCCUCUCUUCAAGAGGCAUUCCAUCGCCCUCUGAGCUUUGAAAUGAAUAAAAAUCUUAAUGUAGUUAGCUAAAAUCAUUAAAUUUAAAUAAAAGAAGAGUAAGAAACAAGUCAUCCGUUGUAGUCUAGUCGGUCAGGAUACUCGGCUCUCACCCGAGAGACCCGGGUUCAAUUCCCGGCGACGGAAUUGUUUUUUUUUUUGGAAUAGUAUAAAGAGGUAUAGCUGAUUAAAGUAACAAAAGAGAAAGUUUCUCCGUGAUUAGAGUAACCUUCCAUUCACCAAAUAAUUUUUAAUGGCCUACCUAAUUCCCAAGCGCCCAAGUUCCCUCCUCAGCUCCUUCCUUGCCAUCACUCACCAUGCCACUGCACGAUCUGUCCACCAGCUCCAUUCCCCGCUCCACCCCAGCGCUCAUGCUCUCCAGCAUCGAAUUCCACCACCUGCAAUGGCUCAGGAAUCUGCUACCCAUAAGUGUUGGAGAAGUUCCCGCAAGAAGCCAUUGCUCAGAAGCAACAGAAAAAGAAUUGCAAAGGCAACAAAGACCUAGAACUUAACCACUUGGCUGACUGGUAUCACGAAGCACCAUGCCAUGUCGCUGCUCUCCUGCUAAAUCUCCGGCAAGAGGAUAGUGUCUCGCUGCUUUUGCCAAGGCAAAGGGUGUAAGUUUGCGUCUAAACACCUGCGAGAGAAGAGGUGACAGCGCAUUAAAUUAAAACAUGUUAAGGGAGCAUCCAUGGAGCUCGAAGCAUCGGCUUGAAGGAAGCUGGUCGCUUGGAAGACGGUGGAAGUGGCCUGAGAACUAUUGUGUCCAUAAGAAAGACUCAAGAGUCUUUUGUGGCGAGAUUUACCAGAUUGCUUCUUUUGAUAAAUUGGUUCUAGAAUUGGCAUUAACAAAUCAUGGUUUAAAGACAAUGGUAUACCUAAGUUCUUAUGAUUAAACAACACUGAGGCACAUUGUGACAAACGUACUUGGAUAAGGAUUGAGCGAGUGGAGUGGCUAGAGUGGAGGGAGCAGCAAGGGAGCAGGACCGGGGAGGUGACACCGCAAGAUAGAUAGAUAGAUAGAUAGAAUAUCCCCCUCUUAACCAGUUCAUAACUGUCGCCGUGCCAGCUGGCUGUGCCCAACACUAUUCUAUUCUCCACGUCCAGGCGUCGACAAUGGCGACCAUUGCGACGUCCAGCCAUCCUUGGCUAUCAUGAUUUCCUAUGAUCAAGCCGGAUUCAACCUAGUUUGUGAUCGCCUGAAUCAUUGCGAACUUGGAUAAAGUAUUCCAGGCAUAUCCAGUAACACUAAAUUUUCAAUCCUAAUUUGUAAGGAAAAAAAAAAAAAAAAAAGACUUUGACCAUUUCCCCAUUGGCUUCCCUCUCUCUCAUGUCAGCUCUUCCUUCCGACUCUCAACAGAUUGAUCGAUCGAUCAUUCCUUAUCAAGCACAACAACACCAUGGCCUUCACUUAUACACUUACACGCAGCAAGCAGCAGAAAGAAUUCACCAACGAAGGCCGUCCCGCUGCUUAUCCCAAUCUCAACCAGGUAAUUACGGACCCGGAGCUCCCCUGAAUUCUGGCCUCCUGCACAGAGGAUAGCCCCUCUUGUAAGUUUUUUAGUUGAUCGAGCCAUAUUUAUUUUCUUCUCACAAUCACAGUUGGUGUAUGCUUUGUUGGCGCAUGGCCAACAUUGUGGACCAAGGCAGGUAAUUUUUUGCUGCCAGAUCUUUAAAUCAAUAGCUCAUGGCCUGCAAAGGAGCUGCAUACCAUCGACUGCUUAUGUUUUCACCAGUGGCACCAUCUUUUGCAUCUUGGAGUGGUUUGUUGCAAAGCUGCGCACAAGUACGGACUCCCCGAGGGGCCUUGCAAUGACAUCUGUGUGCAAUUGCUGCUCCAUCACACAGGUUUCAAGAACCGGAAGCAUUAGGUUGUUUUAGGGUUGUGAAAAGUUUGAGCAAAAGAAAUCUUCACUUCAUUACUGACCUUUAUGCACCCUCAUCCAUUGGUAACAUUUGACCGAUGACUGUCAUGCUAUACCUUUUUUGAAUGGAAAAAAUAAUUUCGUUGCCACGAGAGCCUGACUGAACUGAUGACUUUGAUUGGAAUUUAAUAAAUUUAGCUACUGCAUUAAGAUUUUAUUCAUUUUAAAGCUCAGAGGGUGCGUGGUGGCAGUGCAAUCCCUCUUGAAGAGAGGGAUUUUCACAUUCUUGGAGUUGGCAAUUGCGGCAUGCCUUUCUGAGAUCCUUUCCCGGAGAAUCAUCCCGUCCCAGAUAAACAGAAUUAACAGAUCAUUCUCACAUGGAGGCGGACAGUGACGGGAGCAUCACAAUCAGGUGGCUUGGGGACGUGUUGUAACGCGACCUCUUGCUUCCACAAGAAUCGGUGGUUCCUUUUGUUGUGCGCUGCUUGCAAGGUUUCCAGACAGAAUCAAUCAAAAUUAUACUAAACUCUUUGUUGCGCUUGGGCAGGAAGUCGAGGAAAAAUGCUAGGCAGCACCAUGGAUAAGAAUGAAAAAACAUGUGGCUGGGGAAGAUUAGGUGAGGACGGUGAGCGGUGCAUUUGAAACUUGAAGAAAGCUAAACCCUAAUAAGAAAAGGUGACGGCAACGUGAAAGACUUUUUGAGCUUAGAAUAUGCUAGUAUAUUUGGUUCUAGAAAUGUUGAUUCUUAAUCUUUUUUACUUUUAAACCUAGUUUCUCAAACCAAAAGUUAAUGAGUGGAGUGUGUCAGAUUCUCUUGUCUGUAAGGACUUGCAGAAAUGUAGGCCCAUGAAUCACGACCCAUUGAUUGAUUCUAAUCUUCGAAAUAUUGACUUUACAUAAUAGUUGUUAGCCUCCAAGAGAUCACACGAAAUCUCUCAGAGCUUGGGCAAAGGCCUUGAGGUUCCUGUCCGAGGAUCCUCCCUCGGCUAUGGCAGCCGCGGUAGCCUCGCGGAAUUCCCGAGCCCGGGCUCGCAUCUCGCGACCCUCGUCGCCUCUCAUCAGCCUCACCACUAGAUCUGCGAUCCUCUCGCUCGAGACCGAGACCGUGGAGCUUUUAUCCCGAUCAUCCUGGACCGGGAUCGCCAGCUUCCAGUGCUCCACAAGCUCCUUGCAGUUCACGUUCUGCUCCGCCAUGCAAGGCCAGGCGAGCAUCGGCACGCCCGCGCAGAUCCCCUCCACGGUCGAGUUCCAUCCGCAGUGCGUCAGGAAUCCUCCCACCGCCGGGUGGAGCAAGACGUGCAUUUGCGGCGCCCACGAGAUCACGAUCCCGCGCUUGCCAAUCCGCUGCUUCAAUCCCUCGAAGAAAUCGUGAACCGAUGGAUCCGCGACGAGGGUCUUGCGCAGCACCAGUACGAAUGGCUGGUUGCUGCGCUCCAGGCCCCUGGCGAGCUCCUGGAAUUGCUCCACGGACAUGGUGGCCACGCUGCCGAAGGAGACGUAGAUCACGGAGGAUUCCUUCUGUGUGUCGAGCCACUCCAGGCACGCCAGAUCCUCGGGAGACAGGAGCUCGCUGGAUCGCCCCACCGCGGUGGAUUCCCCCGCGAAGAAUGCCGGGGACAGGCACGGGCCGACGGGGAAGUAGCUGGAUUUCAUCUCGCUGCGCAGCGUCGCCACGGCGUGUGGCUCCAGCUCCUCGUAGGUGUUGCACAGCGCGAAUCUCGCCUCCGCGAACCGCGACGCGCCGUCGCAGACCAUGCCCAAGAUUGGGUGAUCGUAGUAGAAGGAGAGCGGCAGAUCCGUGGCGGGCAUUGGCGGGCAGCCAGGCAGGAAUGUGAUGAGCUCGUCCGUUUUCCUGGCUGGAAGAAGAAGAGUUUCCUUAGAACCCUAAAAACAGGGGAGGGAGAACUUACUCGCGACUGGCACGAAUCCUUUGGACAUGAGCUCCGGCAGGAAGAGGUGAUAGAUGUCGCUGAUCGCAUUGGAGGUCCAGAACACCGCCCUGGGGAUGCCGAAUUCGUCCGCCAGAUCCUGG